CCAAUCUUCUCUUUACCGUUUCAAUUGGCGUUUCCUCCCUCAACACUAAUGGCCACACCUGAACCAUCACCCAUGGCUGUCAACCCAUCCGCGGCUCCGGCUGUGCCCAAUCAACCCAUACCUGAUCAGCUCACCAUUGUUUCUUCCCUCAUUCACCACUGUCAGCAUAAAAAACCCAUCUCCACGUUGCUCUUCUCUCCGCCAGUCGCCGUGAGGUCGCACCACAAAUAGCCUUCACCUGACCAAAGACCACAACAAUAUCCCAACUCAGCCACAAAUGACGAUGAUGAUCGGUAGCAACAAGAACCGGUAAAGAGAGCUGAAGGAGAAGGAAAAAACCAAGAGGACCGAAGCUUUGGGAGGCCAAAUCUCCUUCCUUGAUCAGAUACGAGUGUCACCGCCAAUGUAAAAGUGAAAAGGAGACAGAGGAGCUUUGGACCCACCAGCUCACUCUCCCCCCAACAGCUGCGACGUCUGAAUUCAUGGGUCGAAUGUCGAUAAUGGUGGUGGCGCGUAGUACACGUGUUACCCCAAUAGCCCCUUAACUCUUGAUCUUAGUAGAUUAUUGACACCUAACAUCUUAGAAACUCAAUCUAUAAUUUCAAUUUUUUUUAUUUAUAAAUUGCU
rnacentral:lncRNA from 1 species